UGUAAGCGUAUACCAAAGUUGUUGCAGUUAAAACGCUCGUAGUCGGAAUUUGGCAGUUCCGGAUGUGUGCACGUCGUGUGCGCACUUCGCGGGGAUUGCUUUUGUGGUCUUGCGUAGGAUGAGGCACUUUUAUUAGUGAACGUCCUCACGCAACCACUUUUUACUGUGAGAAAAUCAGAGUGCUCAAAGCAGGCAUUUGCCGUGAAUGUAUUAGCAUGGAAUAAUAGAAUAGGACUUGGUUCUAUUUUGUUGGUUUGUUGGGACUGAGUAAUGAUUAAGAGGGACAGUUGGGGGCAUUUGUAUUUCGGCGCUAGAGGUGAAAUUCUUAGAUUACCGAAAGACAAACUGCUGCGAAAGCGUCUGUCAAGGAUGUUUUCAUUGA
rnacentral:rRNA from 1 species